rnacentral:misc_RNA from 1 species
GGUGAAGAACGUAGCGAAAUGCGAUAAGUAAUGUGAAUUGCAGAAUUCAGUGAAUCAUCGAAUCUUUGAACGCACAUUGCGCCCGCCAGUAUUCUGGCGGGCAUGCCUGUUCGAGCGUCAUUACAACCCUCAGGCCCCCGGGCCUGGCGUCGGGGAUCGGCGGAAGCCCCCUGCGGGCACAACGCCGUCCCCCAAAUACAGUGGCGGUCCCGCCGCAGCUUCCAUUGCGUAGUAGCUAACACCUCGCAACUGGAGAGCGGCGCGGCCACGCCGUAAAACACCCAACUUCUGAAUGUUGACCUCGAAUCAGGUAGGAAUACCCGCUGAACUUAAGCAUAUCAAUAAGCGGAGGA